UCACAUUCAGUGUGACCUCUCUUUAACAAUGUCGCCAGGAUCAAUAUGUUUAUUCCUCGCAGCUGCAGCUGUUCUAACGGGACUUGGUCGAGGAGAUUCUGUCUCACAGACACCGGCUUCGAUCGCAGUGAAUGAGGGGGACAGUGUCCAGUUGUCCUGUAAUUAUACUACAACAAGCAGCACUCCGGGCCUUUACUGGUACCGUCAACAUUCCAGUGGCUCCAUGGAGUUUCUGCUAAAGAGAAACAAAUUUGACGGGAACGCAGAGAAGUUUCACGGAGACCGGUUAUCCUCAGAACUCGACCAUGUGAACAGCACCAUCAAGCUGAAAGUGGUGAAAACAGAACUGGCAGACUCUGCAGUGUACAACUGCGCACUGAGCCCCACGGAGUCUCAGUACUGGGCUGACCCUGUACAAAAACUGUCAGGGAGUCACUGAACAUGACAGUGUGUCCGGCAAACGGUGAGAUCAGGAGAGGAUCUGAAAGGGUUCGCAAA